rnacentral:lncRNA from 1 species
UUUUCUUUUUUCUCUUCUUUUCUUUUCUCUCUCCUCUUCUCUCCUUUCCUCUUCAUUUCUUUUCUUUUUAACAUGAAACCACCAAGUGUGCUGGAUCCUUCACCCAGAUUGAUGUUAUGGGGCAGGAGGACUCAACAUACAACAUACAAGGCCACAGGGACAAUCUAACUGGGAAGAGAAGAUCUGGUGAGCCCACUGCAAGUGAGAUUUCCAAGGGGCCUAAUGUGUGCUGGACAGAGGAGCUCCUUACACCUUGUCUGCUUCUCACCGUAAUGGUGAUGCAGUGUGUCACCCCACUCUAGGACCAGCGCUGCCAUGGCUCCCACACCAAUCCUGAGGCUGCAGCAGAAAAAUGGUGGCUCUGGCUUUGGAAUGAAUUUCCCCUAAAUCAGUGUUUCUCAGACAUUCCCAUCAAAGGUGCCACCACCUUGGAUGAACCCAAUGGAGUUCGCCGCAAGCAUGAAAUUUCUGUGAGCAUUUUUAUGUUUUUUAUUUAUUUUUAAAAUUGUUAUGUUUUAUUUGAACACUGUAUGAGUUUGCAUUUAUAUUCAUGUCUAACAUCAAAUAAUACUUUAAAUUAUCAUCAGGUAAAAAACAUAUAAUUAUUUUUGUUGUUGUUUUUUAAAGACUUAUUUCUUCAUUUUGGGGGGGAAGGGCAAAGGAAGAAGAAGAAUCUCAAACAGACUCCCCGCUGAGUGCAGAGCCUGACACAGGGCUGGAUCUCGUAACCCUAGGAUCAUGACCUAAGCUGAAACCAAGAGUGGGAUGCUUAACUAAUGGAGCCACCCAGAAGCCCCAGAAGAUGUCUUUUUUUCCUAACCAAAUCAUUGAAUAAAAUGGAUUUUCCCAGAAAAU